rnacentral:tRNA from 1 species
AGGGCUUUAGCUUAGUUAAAGUGUCUGUUUUGCAUACAGGAGAUGUAGGUUAGUGUCCUGCAAGUCUGA